AUGCAAGUCGAACGCGAACGCACCUUCGGGUGCAAGUAGAGUGGCGAAAGGGCGAGGAAUACGUUCCUACGUACCCCAAGGUUGAGGAUAGCUCGGAGAAAUCCGUGGUAAUACUCGAUGUGGUGCUUCGGCAUCAAAGGGUUGUCCGCCUUGGUAGCGGGGAACGUCCUAUCAGGUACUUGGUGAGGUAAAGGCUCACCAAGCCGAAGACGGGUAGCGGAUGUGAGAGCUUGACCCGCCGCAUCGGGACUGAGACACUGCCCGGACUCCUACGGGAGGCUGCAGUAACGAAUAUUCCGCAAUGCACGAAAGUGUGACGGGGCAAUGCCGCGUGUGGAAUGAAGCCCCUCGGGGUGUAAACCACUGUCAGGGUUUAGGAACACAAUGACCAAACUCAAAGGAAGGGCCGGCUAACUCUGUGCCAGCAGCCGCGGUAAUACAGAGGGCCCAAGCGUUAAUCGGAAUCACUGGGCUUAAGGAGUGCGUAGGCGGACAUGUAGGUACCUUGUGAAAUCCCUCGGCUCACCCGGGGAAUUGCUUGGUAAACCACAUGUCUUGAGGCAGGAAGGGGUGGUCGGAACGCUAGGUGGAGCGGUGGAAUGCGUAUAUAUCUAGCGGAACGCCAACGGAGAAUUCUGGCUACUGCUCCUGUCCUGACGCUGAGGCACGAAAGCGUGUUUAGCGAACGCGAUUAGAUACCCCGGUAGUCCACGCCGUAAACGAUGCGAACUAGAUCGAGGAGGUUUGACGCCCUCUUGAUCGACACAGACGUGUUAAGUUCGCCGCCUGGGUAGUACUCUCGCGAGUCUAAACUCACAGGCAAUAGACGGGGGCUCACACGAGUUGAUGGCAGCAUGUAGCUCAUUCCAUACAACGCGUAGAACUGUAUCCAUGCGAUGACAUGAUAUGGAAUGAUCUCCGUGAAAGCGGAGCCACACCUUCUGCUGCAUGAUAUAUAGUUGCUGCAUGUCUGUCGAUCAUCUCGUGAUGUCCAGUGUCGAGCUCAGUCCUUCAUCUAGCUGACCUCUUGUCGUAGUGCUACGAGUAAUGCUCAGGACUCUACUGAACUGACGGGUGUAAACGUCAGAACGUGGGGAUCGAUAACAAGUCGUCUAGCCUUUAGUCCUUGGCUGCUCACAUGGCUACAUGAUGAACAUCGAACAUAUCGAAGUGCACAAUUCGUAGACCUUGUCAAUUCUUGAGUGUGAAACCGUGCAAAUACCUCUCUCCACUGA
rnacentral:rRNA from 1 species